GACGAACGCUGGCGGCGUGCUUAACACAUGCAAGUCGAACGGAAAGGCCCUGCUUUUUUGGGGUGCUCGAGUGGCGAACGGGUGAGUAACACGUGAGUAACCUGCCCUUGACUUUGGGAUAACUUCAGAAAACUGGGGCUAAUACCGGAUAGGAGCUCCUGCUGCAGGGUGGGGGUUGGAAAGUUUCGGCGGUUGGGGAUGGACUCGCGGCUGAUCAGCUUGUUGGUUGGGUAGUGGCUUACCAAGGCUUUGACAGGUAGCCGGCCUGAGAGGGUGACCGGCCACCUUGGGCCUGAGAUACGGCCCAGACUACUACGGUAGGCAACGGUGGGGAAUAUUACACAAUGGGCUGAAGCAUGAUGCAGCAACGCCGCGUGCGGGAUGACGGCCUUCGGGUUGUGAACCGCUUUCGCCUGUGACGAAGCGUGAGUGACGGUAAUGGGUAAAGAAGCACCGGCUAACUACGUG
rnacentral:rRNA from 1 species